GCGGGAUUCGUACAACGGCUAGUAUAUGAGUUUUCCAAACUCAGGACGGGGGUUCGAUUCCCCCAUCCCGCACCA
rnacentral:tRNA from 1 species